AUAAUUAUGAGUUUAACAUGUAAUUUGGCGCAAAUGUUAAUGACAUUCCUACCAACUUAAAAAUAAAAAAGAUUGGACGAUUCGAAUAAGACGGGAAGUUCAAAUUAAAAAUUCACCUUACUUUUUGAUCACAGUAGUAAAUCGCAGCUAAGGUGUAACAUGUAAAAUGAGAAGGCUCUGAAGUAAAAUGAGAAGGCUCUCAGUAAAUGGGUGUGUGCUAUUGUUUUAAUGACCAAUAAUAAAUGUGAUUAUGUAAUAAAUUCUCCUUAAAGAUUUCAUCUUUUUCAUUUGGCAUUAAAAAAAAGUUGAGCUUACAAGUGUGCUAGCUUUUAAUAUUAAAACAUUGUAAAUUUUGGAUAGUUCAAAAACUGCAAUUUGUUCAAAAGUUUAAUCAAUAAGGAACUAAUUUAAUGUUGUGUUUUUGGUUUAUUAUUGUAACUUUAGUAACUGGUGUUACUUAAGUAUUGGUUUUACAGGCUAGAUCCAGGCUUACUUCACAAUAUGUUUAUAUAAAUGGAUGAAGUCCUACGAAAUCCAGUAUUUCAAAUUAAGUUGUCUGAACUACUUGGUCAGGAUUGGUUUAAAAUUGGUAUUUACUUAAAUAUCGAACAGCGUAGUUUAGAAUCAAUUAAGAGUGAUUCUAUAAAUUUUUCAAAACAAGAAUGCAAAGCAUACGAAAUGUUAAAAAAAUGGUUCAAUUUUGAUGAAAAACCGACAUUUGAAAAGUUAAAACUUGCCAUUUUAAAUAUUCCGAAAAUGGAUUUAUUGAAGGAGGUGGAGGAUCUUGCAAGUGGGUUUUUCACUAUGUCUUCAUAUUUAUCAGAAGGUGUUUCAAAAACAGAUUUGUUAAGAUUGUCUGCUGAACUCAAAAAAUAUUACCUUAAAUAUUAUGGAGAAAUUAGUGAACUUCAAACACUACUAAAAACAUCCACAAAUCUUGAUCUAAGACAUAGGUUUGUUGAUCUAUGUAUUGUUGAUGCAGCAAAAACUCAAAUGGAUGCUGUUUUUAGUGUUGAACGAAAUGAAUUUCUUAAAAAGCAAAUGAGUUAUACACCAAUUCCAUACAGUAAAGUAUUUACGCAAGAAAAAUCUGUAAUAUUAGUAUCUGGAAUCGCUGGUAUUGGAAAAACAUGGUUGCUUAGAAAAUGUCUGCUUGAUUGGUCAAAUGAUUUAAUUUGGAAAAAUGUUGAACUUGUUUUUUAUUUAGAAUGCAGGAGGAUUAAUCAAUAUGAAGAUAUUUCUAAUAUUAAUGAUUUACUAAGCUUUUUUUACAAAGAUAUUAUAAGUAACUUCAGUAUUAGUUUUCAUACAACACUGUUUAUUAUUGACGGGUUAGAUGAGUUUAAAUAUUUUAAUGAGUUAUCAAAUCCGGAAAUAAAAUGUAACUAUCCAAUUGUUAAUGUUUUAGCAGAAAUUCAAAGUUAUAAACAUUUAGUUGCUGGUAGAGUUUAUGCAAUAGAUCAAUAUCAAAGUUUAUAUACAGAUCGUAGUGAUAAGUUAACCAUUCAAAUAAUGGGGUUUAACGAAAAUGGAAUAACAAAUUAUGUAGAAAAUCAUGUUAUAGAAGAAAAUAAAGAAAUUGUAAAAGCAACUUUAAAGGAAUCUCCAAUUGCAAAAGCUAUGGCAUCAGUUCCUUUUUACUUAUCUUCCAUGUGUAAAAUUAUAAGUGAUUCAAAAACAAUAAACAAAAAUUCUUUCUUAACAAUGACAGAUCUGUAUGCAAAUAUUUUUUUAUAUUUUUUGCAAAAACACAUCAUUAAAAACAAUAAAAUGAUUUAUCAGAUAAUGGAAAACGAUUCUAAUAAAAAAUAUAUUUUAAAUAUUUGUAAAAUUGCAUAUGAACUACUUGUUGAAAAUAAAGUAAUUUUUUCCAAAGAAGAGUUUCAAACUUUUGUUAGUGGCUUUGAUAAAAAUGAAGGUAAUUUUUUUGGAUUUAUAGAAAAGAUUGAAACAAAUCUGGGUUGUUAUUAUCAGUUUGCUCACUUGACUAUAAUGGAGUUUUGUGCAUCUGUAUAUGCAUAUAAUUGUUUAAGUAGUGAUGAAAUUAUGACUAAUAAAAAGCUUAAGAGUUGUUUAUCAAUGAUUUGUGGAUUAUCUAAUGCUAGUCAAAAUAGUUUUAUAAAGUUUCUUGUUAACUUGAAUCCUUUGAAAAGGUCCAAUGGAAAACCUAUCCUUUUGUAUUCUAUUUUGGUGCUCUAUGGGGUCCUUCCCAUACAGGAUUAAAUUGGUUUAAGCUAUCAAGGAGAUUUUGACCGAGUUUGGUAUUGCUGAUUAUGUAAGAAUGGUUUUCUUUGACACUACUGCUACCAAUACUGGAUUAAUUUGUUGUGCUAUUUGCAGGUAAACAAUUUUUUUUAAUAAUUCAACAAAAGAACUCUGAGAGCUAAUACAACAAACUAUUCAUUAAUGGCUUCAAUUUUAUUAGAUUGAGUUUUAGAUAUAUUCUUAGAACAUUAUGAGUCAGCAGUUACCAUAGGUCAGCAAACCUGGAAAUGUACUUUUGUUGAUGUUGAUAAUGACACAGUUUAUUGAUCACUUCAAUUCGCAACAGAUUUGUCAUUCUUAGUUUAAAGAACAAGCAGAUGAGGAAAGAAAUCUUUUAAUAACACUUGUUAAUGAAGGUGUUUUCAAAUAUUUUCAGGAACCAACAUUCAAGCAUCUCAACAUUCACAAGCCUGGGGCAGUAAACCAUACACGUUUUAUGGCAGUAAGUAUUUACUGAUCUGAAGAGUUUGCAAUGUCAUGCUUCCUUAUAAUUUGACAAAGCAAAUCCUGAACAUGAGACAAAA
rnacentral:misc_RNA from 1 species